CCGGAUAACAUGUUGAACCGCAUGGUUCUACAGUGAAAGACGGUCUUGCUGUCACUUAUAGAUGGACCCGCGCCGUAUUAGCUAGUUGGUGGGGUAACGGCCUACCAAGGCGACGAUACGUAGCCGACCUGAGAGGGUGAUCGGCCACACUGGAACUGAGACACGGUCCAGACUCCUACGGGAGGCAGCAGUAGGGAAUCUUCCGCAAUGGGCGAAAGCCUGACGGAGCAACGCCGCGUGAGUGAUGAAGGUCUUCGGAUCGUAAAGCUCUGUUGUUAGGGAAGAACAAAUGUGUAAGUAACUGUGCACAUCUUGACGGUACCUAACCAGAAAGCCACGGCUAACUACGUGCCAGCAGCCGCGGUAAUACGUAGGUGGCAAGCGUUAUCCGGAAUUAUUGGGCGUAAAGCGCGCGUAGGCGGUUUUUUAAGUCUGAUGUGAAAGCCCACGGCUCAACCGUGGAGGGUCAUUGGAAACUGGAAAACUUGAGUGCAGAAGAGGAAAGUGGAAUUCCAUGUGUAGCGGUGAAAUGCGCAGAGAUAUGGAGGAACACCAGUGGCGAAGGCGGCUUUCUGGUCUGCAACUGACGCUGAUGUGCGAAAGCGUGGGGAUCAAACAGGAUUAGAUACCCUGGUAGUCCACGCCGUAAACGAUGAGUGCUAAGUGUUAGGGGGUUUCCGCCCCUUAGUGCUGCAGCUAACGCAUUAAGCACUCCGCCUGGGGAGUACGGUCGCAAGACUGAAACUCAAAGGAAUUGACGGGGACCCGCACAAGCGGUGGAGCAUGUGGUUUAAUUCGAAGCAACGCGAAGAACCUUACCAAAUCUUGACAUCCUUUGACCGCUCUAGAGAUAGAGUUUUCCUCUUCGGAGGACAAAGUGACAGGUGGUGCAUGGUUGUCGUCAGCUCGUGUCGUGAGAUGUUGGGUUAAGUCCCGCAACGAGCGCAACCCUUGAACUUAGUUGCCAUCAUUCAGUUGGGCACUCUAAGUUGACUGCCGGUGACAAACCGGAGGAAGGUGGGGAUGACGUCAAAUCAUCAUGCCCCUUAUGAUUUGGGCUACACACGUGCUACAAUGGACAAUACAAAGGGCAGCGAAACCGCGAGGUCAAGCAAAUCCCAUAAAGUUGUUCUCAGUUCGGAUUGUAGUCUGCAACUCGACUACAUGAAGCUGGAAUCGCUAGUAAUCGUAGAUCAGCAUGCUACGGUGAAUACGUUCCCGGGUCUUGUACACACCGCCCGUCACACCACGAGAGUUUGUAACACCCGAAGCCGGUGGAGUAACCAUUUUGGAGCUAGCCGUCGAAGGUGGGACAAAUGAUUGGGGUGAAGUCGUAACAAGGUAGCCGUAUCGGAAGGUGCGGCUGGAUCACCUCCUUUCUA
rnacentral:rRNA from 1 species